rnacentral:rRNA from 1 species
AGCGGCGGACGGGUGAGUAAUGCAUAGGAAUUUACCCGAUAGUGGGGGAUAACCUGGGGAAACCCAGGCUAAUACCGCAUACGUCCUACGGGAGAAAGGGGGCUUUGGCUCCCGCUAUCGGAUGAGCCUAUGCCGGAUUAGCUGGUUGGUGAGGUAAUGGCUCACCAAGGCGACGAUCCGUAGCUGGUCUGAGAGGAUGAUCAGCCACAUCGGGACUGAGACACGGCCCGAACUCCUACGGGAGGCAGCAGUGGGGAAUAUUGGACAAUGGGCGCAAGCCUGAUCCAGCCAUGCCGCGUGUGUGAAGAAGGCCCUCGGGUUGUAAAGCACUUUCAGCGAGGAAGAACGCCUGGCGGUUAAUACCCGCCAGGAAAGACAUCACUCGCAGAAGAAGCACCGGCUAACUCCGUGCCAGCAGCCGCGGUAAUACGGAGGGUGCAAGCGUUAAUCGGAAUUACUGGGCGUAAAGCGCGCGUAGGUGGCUUGAUAAGCCGGUUGUGAAAGCCCCGGGCUCAACCUGGGAACGGCAUCCGGAACUGUCAGGCUAGAGUGCAGGAGAGGAAGGUAGAAUUCCCGGUGUAGCGGUGAAAUGCGUAGAGAUCGGGAGGAAUACCAGUGGCGAAGGCGGCCUUCUGGACUGACACUGACACUGAGGUGCGAAAGCGUGGGUAGCAAACAGGAUUAGAUACCCUGGUAGUCCACGCCGUAAACGAUGUCGACCAGCCGUUGGGUGCCUAGCGCACUUUGUGGCGAAGUUAACGCGAUAAGUCGACCGCCUGGGGAGUACGGCCGCAAGGUUAAAACUCAAAUGAAUUGACGGGGGCCCGCACAAGCGGUGGAGCAUGUGGUUUAAUUCGAUGCAACGCGAAGAACCUUACCUACUCUUGACAUCCUGCGAAUUGGGUAGAGAUACCUGAGUGCCUUCGGGAACGCA